GAUGAACGCUGGCGGCGUGCCUAAUACAUGCAAGUCGAGCGAACAGACGAGGCGCUUGCUCCUCUGACGUUAGCGGCGGACGGGUGAGUAACACGUGGAUAACCUACCUAUAAGACUGGGAUAACUUCGGGAAACCGGAGCUAAUACCGGAUAAUAUAUUGAACCGCAUGGUUCAAUAGUGAAAGACGGUUUUGCUGUCACUUAUAGAUGGAUCCGCGCCGCAUUAGCUAGUUGGUAAGGUAACGGCUUACCAAGGCAACGAUGCGUAGCCGACCUGAGAGGGGGAUCGGCCACCCUGGAACGGAGACACGGUCCAGACUCCUACGGGAGGCAGCAGUAGGGAAUCUUCCGCAAUGGGCGAAAGCCUGACGGAGCAACGCCGCGUGAGUGAUGAAGGUCUUCGGAUCGUAAAACUCUGUUAUUAGGGAAGAACAAAUGUGUAAGUAACUAUGCACGUCUUGACGGUACCUAAUCAGAAAGCCACGGCUAACUACGUG
rnacentral:rRNA from 1 species